GAGCAGCCCAGGGAGAGUCUCUGCGUCCUCCAGCCCCCGCUUCCCUUCAUGUCGGAGAUCCCAAGCCCGCAGCGAAGUCCGCAAAGAGCUUUCCCCGACGCCUACGAGACCGGAAGUGCCUGGGCCCAGGUGGAGGAAGGACCCGCGCGGCCUCCUCCGCGCUCUCCCUGGGGAGCACCAUUGAAAGAGAAUUAGACAAACUGGAGUCUACUCAGAAGAGGCUGUUGGGAAUGGCCCUGGCACCACAUCCUGAGCAGGCAUGGCCGAUGGAAUGGGGAGAAGACUCAGGUGAGGCUUGAGUGUGUCCUCUGAUGACUGAAGAGCCUUGGGAGCAAGCAUCCUUCCUGCUACUGUGUGUUUGCUGGUUCCAAUGAUACAUAAUUUGUGCUUUUCGUAAUUAAAGUAUUAUCCUGUA
rnacentral:lncRNA from 1 species